rnacentral:rRNA from 2 species
CAUAAGACUGGGAUAACUCCGGGAAACCGGGGCUAAUACCGGAUAACAUUUUGAACCGCAUGGUUCGAAAUUGAAAGGCGGCUUCGGCUGUCACUUAUGGAUGGACCCGCGUCGCAUUAGCUAGUUGGUGAGGUAACGCCUCACCAAGGCAACGAUGCGUAGCCGACCUGAGAGGGUGAUCGGNUACACUGGGACUGAGACACGGCCCAGACUCCUACGGGAGGCAGCAGUAGGGAAUCUUCCGCAAUGGACGAAAGUCUGACGGAGCAACGCCGCGUGAGUGAUGAAGGCUUUCGGGUCGUAAAACUCUGUUGUUAGGGAAGAACAAGUGCUACUUGAAUAAGAUGGCACCUUGACGGUACCUAACCAGAAAGCCACGCCUAACUACGUGCCAGCAGCCGCGGUAAUACCNAGGUGGCAAGCGUUAUCCGGAAUUAUUGGGCGUAAAGCGCCGCGCAGGUGGUUUCUUAAGUCUGAUGCGAAACCCCCACGCCCUCCCCCCGUGCAGGGCCAUUGGAAACUGCGACACUUCGACUGCCGAACAGGAAAGUGCCAAUUCCCUGUGUAGCGGUGACAAUGCGUA